GAUAUUCCAAACUAAGGAUAUGUGUAAUGGCACAACUAGGUCAGGGAAGUCCGGCAUAAAUAAACAGUUUGAAUGACCACAUUUUUGUUUGUUUGAGAGCCCUUCUACACAGCCAUAUAACCCAGCAUAUUGAGGCAGAAAAUCCCACAAGAUUUGCUUUGAACUGCCAUAUAUUCCAGUUCAAAGCAGAAAACGUGGGAUUUUAUUCAGCUGUGUGGAAGGGGACUGAAAGUAGCAGAUUCGCCAUCAGUACUUUUCAAGAUGCAUUGCCUUGUAUUGGAUUUUAGCGUUCAAAAGUUACCUAUGUAGCAGUUUAGGCUUUCAAUUUCUAAUGUAAAUAUAAUUCAUGCCUUAGCUUAUGAAUGAUUAACUACCUGUGCCUGACUUCCCUAUCUCUGAAUCUGCACUAUGGGAGCCGCAUUUGAAUGUAUAUUGACAUGCCUGUUUUCCAAGAUAGGAACCUGCAACUUAUUGAUAGAUCACUUGCUUUGCUUGCAAAAAAAAUAAUAAUAAUAAUACCAGGUUCAGUCACGGCAUCUCAAGAGGAGGCUGAGAAAAAAAACCUUUUUACUUGGAAGGCUGGAGGGUGCAUGAAUGAAUUGUAUUGUAAAUUUCUGGGUAUCUAUCUUCCCGUUUCUCACAGAUGCUCUUGCAACUCCACAUCCAAGAUGCGGUGCUUAAUGGCGGAUUUGGCAUUGUCAUAUCCAAGUGUUAUUAAAGUUUGAAUUAACACCAUGAAAUCUCUUGCGGAGAGACAUUGACUCGACAAGACAAGUGAGCUUCCUGCACAUGACUUUUAUUAGAACUGAGCGCGAGAUGAAGCAUUUCAGAUCAGCAGAACAAAAACUAAAAGAGAACGAAAGCUUCUUCCCGAAAGCAGUUUGCAACGGCAGAAUCAAGCAGCGAGUGCAGUUGGCUUCUGAAAUUUCACUUGGCAAAAACGAGCGCUCUAAAGGUAAAUACUGACUUCCAGGUCUGUUAAAGGGAAGUCAGCCUUGAAAGUCAACAUUGAGGAAUGAUUAACUAAAGGCCAACUUCGGUAGGUAGGCCAGCUAUUUUAUAUAAGUGUAUUGUCGCUCCAAACUAAAAUACCCCCAUUGUCUUUAA